GAUGAAUGCUGGCGGCGUGCCUAACACAUGCAAGUCGAGCGGCAGCGCGGGUAGUUUACUACCUGGCGGCGAGCGGCGGACGGCUGAGUAACGCGUGGGAACGUGCCCCAAAGUGAGGAAUAACUGCCCGAAAGGGUGGCUAAUGCCGCAUAUGAUCUUCGGAUUAAAGUCUUCGGACGCUUUGGGAGCGGCCCGCGUCGGAUUAGGUAGUUGGUAGGGUAAUGGCCUACCAAGCCGACGAUCCGUAGCUGGUCUGAGAGGAUGAUCAGCCAGACUGGAACUGAGACACGGUCCAGACUCCUACGGGAGGCAGCAGUGAGGAAUCUUCCACAAUGGGCGAAAGCCUGAUGGAGCAACGCCGCGUGCAGGAUGAAGGCCUUCGGGUUGUAAACUGCUUUUAUAAGUGAAGAAUAUGACGGUAACUUAUGAAUAAGCACCGGCUAACUACGUGCCAGCAGCCGCGGUCAUACGUAGGGUGCAAGCAUUAUCCGGAGUGACUGGGCGUAAAGAGUUGCGUAGGUGGUUUGUUAAGUAGGUAGUGAAAUCUGGCGGCUCAACCGUACAGGCUAUUACCUAAACUGGCAAACUCGAGAAUGGUAGAGGUAACUGGAAUUUCUUGUGUAGGAGUGAAAUCCGUAGAUAUAAGAAGGAACACCCAAUGGCGUAGGCAGGUUACUGGACCAUUUCUGACACUGAGGCACGAAAGCGUGGGGAGCGAACGGGAUUAGAUACCCCGGUAGUCCACGCCGUAAACGAUGGAUACUAGCUGUUGGAGGUAUCGACCCCUCCAGUAGCGAAGCUAACGCGUUAAGUAUCCCGCCUGUGGAGUACGGUCGCAAGACUAAAACAUAAAGGAAUUGACGGGGACCCGCACAAGCGGUGGAUUGUGUUCUUUAAUUCGAUGAUAAACGAAGAACCUUACCAGGGUUUGACAUCCCUUGAAUUAUGCCGAAAGGCGUGAGUGCUUUAUUGAACAAGGUGACAGGUGAUGCAUGGCCGUCGUCAGCUCGUGUCGUGAGAUGUUUGGUUAAGUCCAUCAACGAGCGCAACCCUUGUCUUCAGUUGGAUUUUUCUGAAGAGACUGCCCCGGCAACGGGGAGGAAGGAGGGGAUGAUGUCAGGUCAGUAUUUCCCUUACAUCCUGGGCUAGAAACGCAAUACAAUGGCUAGUACAAUGCGCAGCGAAGCCGCGAGGUGAAGCAAAUCGCAUCAAAGCUAGUCCCAGUUCGGAUAAGAGGCUGAAACUCGCCUCUUUGAAGUCGGAAUCGCUAGUAAUCGCAGAUCAGCAAGCUGCGGUGAAUACGUUCCCGGGUCUUGUACUCACCG
rnacentral:rRNA from 1 species